rnacentral:rRNA from 1 species
UACGUAGGGUGCAAGCGUUGUCCGGAAUUAUUGGGCGUAAAGAGCUCGUAGGCGGUCUGUCGCGUCGGCUGUGAAAACCCGAGGCUCAACCUCGGGCCUGCAGUCGAUACGGGCAAACUAGAGUACUGCAGGGGAGACUGGAAUUCCUGGUGUAGCGGUGAAAUGCGCAGAUAUCAGGAGGAACACCGGUGGCGGAAGGCGGGGUCUCUGGGGCAGUAACUGACGCUGGAGGAGCGAAAAGCGUGGGGAGCGAACAGG